GAAAAGAGGUUCCAGCUCCACCCUGAUGUUUACGGUGAUAUCUGGAAGAGAUCCCAGGCAGGCACACAGUGGGCACACCAAGCCCUUUGACCUAGUGUUGCAGCCUCCAUGUAGAAGCUGGAAAACCAUGAUGUCACACUUGGCUCAUGACAAAGGCCCACAUGUCAAAGAGGGAGUGCCUUCAUUUGGGUCAUCAGGACACCAGGGGAGCUAGGAACCACGAAGGGGCCAUGAAAGAAGAGAAAUGGAAGCCUCUCCUGAUGACCCAGACCAGGCACAAAAAGUCGUCUCAGUUAUGGCUAUGUGUUAACACCACGGGAGCCCCGCCCAGAACAAUGACAAUUGAACUGAUUGAGCUGGCUGGUGGUGCCCACUAGAUCAAGGACAGAUCCUAUCCACACAGUCUACCAAUCCACAUGCCAGCCUCUGACCACUCAGAAACAGGAUUUCAACAGUCUUUGGGUGCUGCUUAAGGACCAGGCUAACCCUAGAGUCACCAGACACACCCUGUGGUUGGCCUUGCAGUACAUGGUUCAUGUACUCGUGCCUCAGCCCCCUCUACCCGGCCAUGACUUUGAAGCAACAAGCCCUCCUCAACUUCACCUAGAACGCAGGUCCUUCUUCGUGUCCAGGUGGUACAAAUGCCACCCCCACCUGGAAACUUCCUAGAGCCUCAAGGCAGAAGCCCCAUUGUCUACUCCAAUGCAAGAGUUCAAUAGCAAGGAUGAUGACAACGACAAGGAUGGAGGAGAAGCAACAAGCGUUUGACUGUGCCGAUAACUGCCACACUGCAGUGAAAACCAAAGUCACCAGCAUUCCAGGAUCAGCCAGCACCAGCAAAGUACGGAGCUUCUAGCGUGUAGAAACAACUCGUAUUAAAUUAUUUAGCCAGCAAAUGACUAUAAAAGCACCGUGCCAGCAUCAAAGCCACAGAAAGGCCAGAUUCGAGUAACAACAGCACUGUCUGCUUCAAUUCAUUAUUGAAUUUUUUAAGGGCCCACAAAUGGAUGAACACAAUUCAUUGCUUGCUCUGGGGAGCCAGGGUCUCUGGGAGCAUUCACAAGGUAUGCAAGCUCCAUGGGAGAUCACUGUGUGCUGGAGCUGACAGACAAGAGCUGGGCCACACUGCAGACAGCCUUCCGAAGCGUGGUGGGCCUCUCUGUUCAGUCUGGGGGGAAAUUAAUAGUUGACCCCCUGGCCAGUUCUGGCCCAAAAGCCCUGAGCUGCCCUUGAACAUCUGGCCAUGGCUUGCCUUCUCUUUUCUUUGUAUCAGCCAUAACUUAUAAUGUCCUCUCCAUCAUGCAGUCUCCCUUUUUUCUCUGACCCUCUGCAGAGGUCAGGUGGAAAUCUUUGUGUGCAGAUUCCCUGGCAAUUGAAUUUUGAUCCAUUUAAGUCGGCCUGCUUCCUUCUGGACCAGAGCUCUUCUAUCAUGCUAGACACGUCAUCCGCUUCUGAGACAGGACCUUGAAGAGAAUAUAAUGUUUCUAGAAUGAAGUUGGCUUCAUGAACAUGCAGCUGUGGUGCUGAAGCUGCAUCAGUCACAUUGUCCUGGGCUCCUUACCCAGCACCCAAAGCCCCUGGGCCGUCUGCAGAGUCUUUGAGUUGGCUUCUGUUGUCACCUAUGCCCUCCAGCCCCACAGGGGCCAGCAGGAUAAUCUUCACUGUACACACCACCACCCUUCGCCGGUGUUCUGUUUCUACACGGCUAGGUAUAGCAAACCCCUAAACUUGAAGGGGCAUUUACUAGGAGCUAAGGGGCUGUGUUGGGUGGGAUACUGUCCUCCCAAAAUUAAUGUUGCCUGCAACCCUAGAAUAUGACUGUCUUUGCGAAUAGGGUCUUGACAGGUAGAAAAUAGUGAGACUCUUAAGAGGGGGUCAUGUAAAGGGAAGCCUUUCCUUGAGAGAAGCCUUCCUGCCAGCCUGAUUCCAGAGCCGCAUGAGUCCCAAAUAA